GAGGACAUAGCUCAAGUGGUAGAGUACAUGCUUAACACGCAUGAGGCCCUGGGUUCAAUCCCCAGCACCUCC
rnacentral:tRNA from 1 species